rnacentral:lncRNA from 1 species
GUGGACUGUUUUAUUUUGAAUUUACCUCUUAAGAUUCACAUUAUGUUUUUUGAUAAGAAAUCACAGAAGAGAUAUAUUGUUCUUAUAUUAUCUAAGGUGUCAAACAGUUUUUAUAUAUCCAGUUACUGAUGGCUGGGCUUUGAUCAAUUGAUUAUGGUAUGGUUCACCAAACUUUCACUUUUAUAGUAACUUUUUUCCCUUUGUAAUUAAGUAUCUUAUAAAGAGAUCAUCAAAUUUUCACUCAUUAGUUUUAGCAUCCAUUGAAGAUUUUCAAUUGAAUCAAUAAUUACCACACUGAUUGCCAAAUACUGAUUUUCAAAUUCCAUCAUUACUUGUACUAUACAUUUAUUGGUUGGCAUUCCCUUUCAAUUUAUUUCUCACUGUGGGAACUUGUGGCUACCUUUUUUCUUUUUCUUUUUUUUUUAAAUGCUGGUGAUUGAACUCAGAGCCUCACACAUGCUAAGCAGGCACUCAAACAGAUAUACACUACCAUGUUCAUUGCAGCAUUUACAACAGCCAGUAAAAGGAAUCCAGUAUACCUCAAUGAAUAAAGAAAAUGUGAUACAUCUACACAAUGGAAGAGCAUUCAUCCACAGAAAAGGUAGAAAUCCUAUCAUUCACAACAACAUGGAUGAACCUGGAGGACACUUAGAUUAGAUGGAAUUAUGUCAGGCACAGAAAAGAAAAUAACACAUGAUCUCACUCACAUGUGGGGUCUGAAAAAGGUAAAACUCAGAGGAUGGAAGUGGUUACUUGGGCUUAGGAGCAGCGGGGUUUGGAGAGAAAUUGGUAAAAGGAUAAAAAUUUCAUGUCAAUGUUUUUAAAAAAGUUUUAAAAAAGCUGUCCCAGAGACUUUGAUUGAGACCCAGUUCCUCCCCUACCUCCUCCUCUUAUUUUCCCUCCUUCCUGGCCCCCACUCGUGAGAACAGAGA